UCCAUAACCGAAGGAGAAAGGUUGGAUAAAUUAUAUAUAAUGUCUUGACUAUAAGACCUUUCUUAAAAGAUUUCAUACCACUAUCAGCACUAAUGCAUUCGCUUGCCCGAAUUCGAAAUCUUUCAAAAAAAAAGUAGACAUAUAAUGUGUAAAUUAAUUUAUCGAAACGAAUUUCAAAAAGUGAAAUACACCACAAGACCUUAAGAACUAGUCUAGAGGCGAUCAAACUGAAAAGGCAAACUGGUCGACAAAGUAGACAUAUAAUGUGUAAAUUAAUUUAUCGAAACGAAUCUCAAAAAGUAAAAUACACCCGAACACCUCAAGAACUAGUCUAGAGGCGAUCAAACUGAAAAGGCAAACUGGUCGAACAAAAAUUACAAAAUGCUCGUGGUUGGCGUGUGGGAGUCAAGUGACGAUUCCCGAUUCGUACUCUAUCAUCAAUCUUUUUACCAGGGAAUCAACUCAUCAUAAAUGUGUCUUUAUAGUGAGUUCAUGAAAUCACUUGGAUGGUGAAAGGGGGCUAGCAAGGGAGUUACGAGAAUAGCAAAGGUUCAAGCACAAGAACUUGAAAGGUAGUUGUCCAACAUUGUGAUUGCGGUUCACGAGCUAAGAAUGUUUCGGUAUGAUUUUACAAAAUUGUCUUUACAUCCUUCCCCAACUAUCUACAGUAGCUAUGUAAUCGAGGGGAUGAAUCGCCUAUACAAAAAGUUCAACACUAUGUUUGGGUUAAGGGAGGCAGAGUAAAGGAAAAACAAUCAAGGGAUGUCCACCCUCCUUUCGUUUGUUUGGAUAAGAAGUAAUAGUGAAGAAAAUGGAGGGGAGGGAUGGUGAGCAUCCAUGUCUUUCUCUUGAUAAUCAAAGUUUUGAAUCCCUCCGAAUCAGAGGUAAAGCAAGAGAGAGAAGUAAAUAAUGAAGCACACAGUAGAAUAUACUGUGUAUAGGAUCAGCUAGAAAUAUCCGAUAUUCCUGGCUUUUGUUCUGAGAAGUUUCAGAUUGGACAGGGAAGGUUCAGGCAGUAGAAUGGCAUGCCAAAUAACACCACAAAGAAUAUACCGUUAAACACAUUAACUCUUAAAGACGAAAACUGAAAUAAUAUGCUAUUCGUAGACAACAAGUAUGUAUCGAAGAACCUAAGGUCAUAGAAAAAGGAGUCGACCAACUAUUUAGAGCAAACAAUCCAAAAGUCUUUCCUCGAAGAUGCUGACUCUCAUAUUGUAGGAAUCCGUCACCAUUGAUCUUUCAGCUAAGGACUUACAUACUUGCAAGCUAACAAAACAAAGCACACAGAAAGAAAAAUGAAACUGAAUAUGACAGUACCUAUAUUUCCAGGAAGAGGAUGAUAUUUUACCUCCAUGGCCUUCGAUCCAUGACUGCAGAUAAAGGGUGAUCUUUGACAAUAAACAGAAACUGGAUUUCCUCUCCACGCCACAGGAAAUUUGUAUUAUCCAAACCUGUCCAAUUUAAGCUUGUUCCAUUUUAAAAAAGACAAGCCCAAAAACGUUUAUGACAACCUCAACAAUCAUCACAAGGGACACACCUUAGCGGAGUUAGAGCGAGCACCGUUCAAAAGAUAAUUAUUGCUUUGACGCUUAAAUUCUCAAAUGCACAAUCUAACAUUGAUAGUUUCCAGUGAUAGACCAACGGCUCAACUCCAAAUAAAUGGGAUGUUACGUAUCUGAUCCAAUAGACAUGAUUCCCAAAUAAAAUGCAAAGCAGUUUAGUUCCAUAGGAUGGGGAAAGAAGUUCUCAAAUUUAAGAGGACUAGCAUGCGAAGUCUGUUUCAUGAAAUUGUAUCCAAGUACUUUACUUGGAAGUAAUUCAGUAAUAACCAAAAUAAAAAUAGACAGAUCGUAGUUUGCAGGUGACUCCGACCCGAUGAAAAACUAAUGAAGAUGUUAAAAAGACACAAUUUCUGCAUGUACUAAUGGGGGAAAAUACAAAAAACAUGAAUUUCACCUCAAGCUAAAAGCGUCUGCAAGUCGAAGCAUGAGACACCAAGCAUGAUGCCGUUAACUCUGGCAGCUUGGAAACACAGCACUAAAGGAGGUUAUACAUACAGUAAAGCAUCCAGAAAUUCCAGAAUUUUACAGAGCAGAUACCAGAUUAUCACCUAUUACUAAUGUAUUUCCACACUCAAUGUUUUGACAAGAACAUCCCCUGCCUUUUUGUCAUAAUUAUUUAUGUUAUAGUCCACAGUUCAGGGGAUUUGCAUCUCAAAAUGAUCUUGGAGAUUUCUUUUGGUAUACUUCAAGUUAGAGCAAUUUUAUCCUCUAAUCCAUUUUAUAAAUACCUGAAAAUUGCUGCUUCACCAAUUAGCAGAUCACAAGAAUGAUUAGGCUAAAGUUGCUCAAUCUAAGCUAGCAAAAAUUGAUCGGUAAUAAAGUUAUAAAUCUUUGCAAGGGACAAACCUUUAGGACAGAGCACAAGAUUAUCUUUGCCUUCAUGUCAAAGUUCAAUGUUAAACUCCAUAAAUCAAAGACUUGGCAGUUCAAAAUUUUUUCAUUUUGGUUUACUUAUAAGUUAGAGCAAUUUAUCUCUUAUAAUCCAGUUUAUGCAUCCCUCACUUAUUGUGGCUAUACCAAUUAGCGGAUCACAAGCAUGAUUAUUAUUAUUAUUUUUUUUGAGAUAAAUAUUAUAAGCAUGAUUAUGCUGAAGAUUUAAAAAUAAAGACGUAGCUCAAUCUAAAUUAGUUCAGGUAUUUUUGAAAUAAUUAGUACAGAUAAUUCUGGAUAAAGAUGCAGAUCUUUGAAAAGGGAGAAACUUAAAGCACAGAGCACAUCAUAUGUCAAUUUUUUUAAUCUUCUCAUCCAGAUUAUUCGACAGUUCUGUGGAUAAAAAGAAAGACAAGACUAGCGCAUUUGCAUCAUAUAAUGUUUUGGAAUCUUAUAUGUGAAUGACAUCUCAUGCUUACGAACUGUUUGAGCAUAUUCUGUGCCACCUGACACUACUCUACAAACAGUAAGUUCCAGACUCUUGGAGGAUGAACUCAAGGGCAUGGCAAAUACAAACACUAAUUAGAGGAAAACUAAGAAACCAGAAUGCUGUGUUAACUUAAAGAUACUGAGGUGCUAAACAAUGAUGUGGUAAGUUCCAGCACCUUUAAAUGAGCCAACACUGAGCAGCCAAACAACACUGUCAAGGACAUCAACCCAUAGUGGUUACUCCCUUGCUUAACAGGGAGAAAAAUUGGGAUUUCACACCAAACCCAUGGAUUUUUUUAUGUUAUUCAAAUUACCAAAUUGUUUUUUUAGAUAAUUUAGAAGUAUCCAUGAAACAAAAUAAUAUUUACGCACCUGCAAUAGAAGGAAAUCAGCAAACCUCUUCUAACUGGCACGUUAGUGAGAGACCACCUUCGCAGCUGGUUGACUUGAAAGAGAGGCAUAUUCAUAGGGAUAGCAUA
rnacentral:lncRNA from 1 species